AUUGAACGCUAGCGGGAUGCCUUACACAUGGAAGUCGAACGGAGUGGCGAACGGGUGAGUAAUGUAUCGGAACGUGCCUAGUAGCGGGGGAUAACUACGCGAAAGCGUAGCUAAUACCGAAUACUAUUGGAGCGGCCGAUAUCGGAUUAGCUAGAUUGUGGGGUAACGGCUAACCAAGGCGACGAUCCGUAGCUGGUUUGAUGAGACGACCCGCCACACUGGGACUGAGACCCGGCCCAAACUCCUCCUCUCUCCCUCCUUUCUUCCUUUUAACCCCUUUACAGAACCCUGCUCCAGCCAUCCCGCGUGUGCGAACAAUCCUUUCCGUUUUUCCUGCACUUUUGGCAGGAAAGCGGUACCUGCAGAAUAAGCACCGGCUAACUACGUGCCAGCAGCCGCGGUAAUUC
rnacentral:rRNA from 1 species